AUGGGCGGCUCUGGCCGGUCGUCCGGGUCGCGCAGGACGGUGGGGAGGCGUCGCAGGCCUGCUGAUCGGGAGCUCGAGGUGACCGGGUUGGAGAAAGGAGGGCAGGUAGGGAGGACGAGGGGGAGAGGGAAAGAGGUAGCUGCGCUGUGGACCAGGGAGGACGACGACUCCGGGCGCGGGGCCUCGCUCCUCCCCCUGGCGAUGCAAGGAAGAAGGAGGGGAUCGAGGGCGAUGGCUUCUGGCGGCGGCGAUGGGAACGAGGAAAAGAGGGAGCGAGGCUGCGAGGGAGAUGGGGGAGUCGGGCUAGGUUUAGAGCAGUUAGGUGGGCCGGCUGGAUGGGCCUAA
rnacentral:rRNA from 1 species